rfam:Triticum aestivum genome assembly, contig: Triticum_aestivum_CS42_TGACv1_scaffold_404330_5BL
GUGAUACUACUUCCGUCCGAAAUUACUUGUCAUCAAAAUGGAUGAAAAUGUAUGUAUUUAAAACUAAAAUAUAUCUAGAUGCAUCCAUUUGAAUGACAAGUAUUUUCGGACUGAGGGAGUAAUAA